GUCUUUAGAGUGUAAGAUAUAUGUAUAACUGUUGUGUGCUAAAUAAAGGGAAUUAUUUGUAUUUCCGAAUCCAUUCUAUAUCUUUACAUGGUAGCAGAGCGUGGUUCAUAGUUUUGCCAGUUAUUUUAGUGCAUGGUUUUCAAUAUUGCGAGUUAGAUCGAGUGAGUCUUCAGUAAGGAAAGAAACGUUCAAAGGUUACAAAGAGGAAAAAUACACUUCGUGCACGUAGGAACGCUUG
rnacentral:misc_RNA from 1 species